GGCGAACGGGUGAGUAACGCGUGAGCAAUCUACCUUAGUUACAGGGAUAGCCCGAGGAAACUCGGAUUAAUACCUGAUAUUCUUUAUAUUUCGCAUGAAAUUAAAAGGAAAGGUCAGCCGAACUAAGAUGAGCUCGCGUUCUAUCAGCUAGUUGGUGAGGUAAAAGCUCACCAAGGCUACGACGGAUAGCUGGUCUGAGAGGACGAUCAGCCACACUGGGACUGAGACACGGCCCAGACUCCUACGGGAGGCUGCAGCAGGGAAUAUUGCGCAAUGAGCGAAAGCUUGACGCAGCGACACCGCGUGUGGGAUGACGGAUCUAGGUUUGUAAACCACUUUCAGGAGGGAAGAAAAUGACGGUACCUCCACAAGAAGCCCCGGCCAACUACGUGCCAGCAGCCGCGGUAAUACGUAGGGGGCGAGCGUUGUCCGGAUUUAUUGGGCGUAAAGAGCUCGUAGGCGGUUCAAUAAGUCGGUCGUGAAAGUUCAGGGCUCAACCCUGAAAUGUCGAUCGAUACUGUUGUGACUAGGAUACGGUAGAGGUGAGUGGAAUUCCGAGUGUAGCGGUGAAAUGCGUAGAUAUUCGGAGGAACACCAAUUGCGAAGGCAGCUCACUGAGCCGCUAUCGACGCUGAGGAGCGAAAGCUAGGGGAGCAAACAGGAUUAGAUACCCUGGUAGUCCUAGCUGUAAACGAUGGAUACUAGACGUAGGAACUGGAUUGACGGUUUCUGUGUCGCAGCUAACGCGUUAAGUAUCC
rnacentral:rRNA from 1 species